AUACGUAGGGCGCAAGCGUUAAUCGGAAUUACUGGGCGUAAAGCGUGCGCAGGCGGUUUUGUAAGACAGUGGUGAAAUCCCCGGGCUCAACCUGGGAACUGCCAUUGUGACUGCAAGGCUGGAGUGCGGCAGAGGGGGAUGGAAUUCCGCGUGUAGCAGUGAAAUGCGUAGAUAUGCGGAGGAACACCGAUGGCGAAGGCAAUCCCCUGGGCCUGCACUGACGCUCAUGCACGAAAGCGUGGGGAGCAAACAGGAUUAGAUACCCUGGUAGUCCACGCCCUAAACGAUGUCAACUGGUUGUUGGGGAUUUAUUUUCUCAGUAACGAAGCUAACGCGUGAAGUUGACCGCCUGGGGAGUACGGCCGCAAGGUUAAAACUCAAAGGAAUUGACGGGG
rnacentral:rRNA from 1 species